UUCUGUUGUGUAAAGAUCUUGCAUUCUUUGUUGACCUCGCAAAAAAAAUUAUUACGUAUCAAUAGUAUGGGGGGGGGGGGUGGUCACACACAUAAUGGAUGGAGGAAGACUGUCAUCCGGCCUGAGCACCGUCUUGGGUGUUAAAGCCCUUAUAAAACGGUCCUAGAAGAGUAAACUUGAUCCGCUUGACAGCCAUUGAAAGAAUUUCAUCUCUGUUCUCUGCCUGGUUGCUUCGGGCAUAGCUGCCCUGCUGGCACUCUUCAGAUGGGAAGAACAAGCCAAUCGGAAGCUUCAAAAGAAGACAAUGAAUAUCAUAAUAUUUCACAGAAUGUUUACAUUAAUUGGAGGAGAAAAAUGCCCCGUGGAUGUCAUUUUUCCAAACUGUAAAAUAAGCAAAUGAAUACUAAAAAUGUGACUUUUUUGAAAAAUGAGAUUAACUUUUAGAAAUUACUCCAAAUGCCAUAAUGAUUGUGAAACAAAUAUUGAAUAUGUUUUUAAAGUACAAAGUAUUUAUGAUACAUGUAUAAAGCAUACACACACAAGGAUUUAAUCAUACUAUGAAUAUAUUUUGGUUAACCUUAUGAGUUAAGAAUAUUUUGAGUGAGGCACACCUGGGUGGCUCAGUGAUUGAGCAUCUGCCUUUGGCUCAGGUCCUGAUCCCCCCGGUCCCGGGAUCAAGUCCCACAUCGGGCUCCCUGCAUGGAGCCUGCUUUUCCCCCUGCCUAUGUCUCUGCCUCUCUCUCUGUGUCCUUCAUGAAUAGAUAAAUAAAAUCUUUAAAAAA
rnacentral:lncRNA from 1 species